rnacentral:rRNA from 1 species
GACGAACGCUGGCGGCGUGCUUAACACAUGCAAGUCGAGCGAAUGGAUUAAGAGCUUGCUCUCAUGAAGUUAGCGGCGGACGGGUGAGUAACACGUGGGUAACCUGCCCAUAAGACUGGGAUAACUCCGGGAAACCGGGGCUAAUACCGGAUAACAUUUUGAACCGCAUGGUUCGAAAUUGAAAGGCGGCUUCGGCUGUCACUUAUGGAUGGACCCGCGUCGCAUUAGCUAGUUGGUGAGGUAACGGCUCACCAAGGCAACGAUGCGUAGCCGACCUGGGAGGGUGAUCGGCCACACUGGGACUGAGACACGGCCCAGACUCCUACGGGAGGCAGCAGUAGGGAAUCUUCCGCAAUGGACGAAAGUCUGACGGAGCAACGCCGCGUGAGUGAUGAAGGCUUUCGGGUCGUAAAACUCUGUUGUUAGGGAAGAACAAGUGCUAGUUGAAUAAGCUGGCACCUUGACGGUACCUAACCAGAAAGCCACGGCUAACUACGUGCCAGCCGCCGCAGUAA